rnacentral:hammerhead_ribozyme from 1 species
AUCUGGCUGAAGAGUCCCAAAUAGGACGAAACGUGCGUCCUGUAU